GGAACUGAAACACAAACUGCAGAACCUGAUGAAAACACCAGACACGCCCCUCCUGUUUUCGUCUUCAGCAGCGCUGCGGGGGCGGGUCUACCCCGCGGACAGAGCUGGAACAGUACGUUCAUAACUGCUGAGAGAGAAACGAUGACAGGAAAUGGAAUGGAAGCAGGUGGGAAUCGUCUGGAGUCAGAUGGUGCCUCUGGAGACGGUCACCAUCACACCCAGCAUUUACAGCAUGAGUCCACUUUCUGUACCGCGUAAUGCAAGAAGAAAGUCAUCAUCUGGAGUCUGAGCUUACUUGUGGAGAUGCUCAGCAGCAGAGGUCUGCAUUCCUAGUUCAGAGACUCUACAUCAGACUGAGAAAGAGGGAAACACUGUUGCCCUUCGCUGUGGAAACCUAACUAAUGGUAAAUUGACGUGGAGCAGAGACACCAACGGACAGAUAGUGGACAUUCUGACCACUCAUAAUGGAAAGAUGACCAAACGCAUCGCAGAUCCAGACAAACAUUACAACUCGCAAGCAGAUCUAGCUCUGAUUAUACAUAGAGUGUCUCAGUCAGACGCUGGUAGAUACGACUGCAGUGGAGCUACAGUGGAGCUCAGUGUGACAUCAGGAACCGGUUCUUCCAUUUGAGUGUGUGGAAAUGAAUAGAAAUGUCCAGCAGCAGUGCCGCAAAAAGGGGGUAUGCAGCGUAUGCGGCGCAUAUGGGCGCUGCACUAGAGGGGCGUCAAAACGAUGCCGGAAAAUGAUUUCUAGUCUGCAUUUUCUGCGAUCGAGAACGCGCCCCAUAGGGAACGGAAGAGGGAGAGAGAAAAAGAUGUUGUAGGGAUGAAGAAAAGCUUCUCAAAGUGGUUGAAAGACAGCAGGCCCAAACAGCAUAACCACACCCAAAACUACAACCACAUCUACAUCUGCCACAACAGCUACAUCUACAACCACUUCCACAGCUAAAAGAAGAGGCAAGAAGGCAAAAUCUACAACUACAACCACUUCCAGAGCUAAAAGAACAGCUACUAAGACGACAGAAGCUUCAACAACAACUGAAGAUCUGUGGAAAGUCCUGACCACAGUAACAGUGAGCUGCCUGGUUGCUGUGGUGCUGGUUCUGUUGUCAUGGAUAUGCUUCUACAAAAGGAAAGGUUACGCUGUUAAACACAAUCAGGAGCAUGUCUACGACUCCAUUGAUGACACCAUGCCAACCGCACAGCCUGGCUGGACGCUAUCUGAAACCUCCUUGUCCGCCUGGACCUCCAGGAGCUCGCUGAUGGCUUCAUGGUCAUCAUCACUGGAGCUCACUAGAUGAUCUUGAAUCAUAUUAGAGCUCAUAUUAAUCUGAACUCCUGCUUUAUAUUCACUAAAUGUUCAUUAUCUUCAUGCUGUCUGGUCAUUUUCUUUACUCACCUAGAGGCUGGACACUUCCUGAAUCCUCUUCCUCCACCUGGACCUCCAGGAGCUCUCUGAUGGCUUUAUCUUCAUCAUUAUUGGAGCUCACUAGAUGCUCUUGAAUGAAGUCAGACAGAUUAGAGCUCAUAUUAAUGUGAAUUUCUGUUUUUAUGUUGACUAAAUAUGUUAUUAUCAUCAUGCUGUUUGUUCAUGAAUUACUAGUGACUAAUUUGAAUUAUUCAGUGUCCACUAUGAAUUAUCCAGUACCUGCUAUAACGUAUUCAGUAUCCGCUAUGAUUUAUUCAGUAUCCAUCAUAAAUUAUUCAGUACCUGAUAUGAAUUAUUCAGUAUCCGCUAUGAUUUCUUCAGUAUCCAUCAUGAAUUAUUCAGUACCUGAGAUUAAUUAUUCAGUAUCCGCUAUGAUUUAUUCAGUAUUCAUCAUUAAUUAUUCAGUACCUGAUAUAAAUUAUUCAGUAUCCACUGUUUUUUUCUGUAUCCAUCAUGAAUUAUUCAAUACCUCCUAUAAAUGAUUCGGUAUCCGCUAUGAUUUAUUCUGUAUCCAUCAUGAAUAUUUCAGUACCUGCUAUAAAAUACUCAGUAUCCGCUAUUGUUUAUACAGGAUCCAUCAUGAAUUAUUCAGUACCUGAUAUUAAUUAUUCAGGACGUGCUAUAAAGUAUUCAUUAUCCACUAUGAUUCAUUCAGUAUUCAUCAUUAAUUAUUCAGUACCUGAUAUAAAUUACUGAGUAUCCACUAUGUUUUUUUUCUAUAUCCAUCAUGAAUUAUUCAGUACCUGCUAUAAAUGAUUCGGUAUCCGCUAUGAUUUAUUCAGUAUCCAUCAUGAAUUAUUCAGUAUGCACUCUGGAUUCAUAGUCACUAAUUUGAAUUAUUGCAUAUUAUUUUUAUUUAUUUCCUUUACUCACCCAGAGGCUGGACACUUGCUGAAACCUCGUCCUCCAGCUGGACCUCGAGGAGCUCACUGAUGGCUUUAUCUUCAUCAUUAUUGGAGCUCACUAGAUGAUCUUGAAUGAAGUCAGACAGAUUAGAGCUCAUAUUAAUCUUUAUACACUCUCAGACAUAAAGGCAUGAAACUGUGACUGGGUCAGUGCCCCUCUUGUGUCUGGGGUGGGACCCUCCAAGGUCCAUCUCAGUCCCUUUAGUCAGGGAACAUAACUGAACCAUAAUCCACUGAAAUGAUCUGUUCUAAGCUGUACUGACUCCACACCCCCUGCCUCGCCUCCAGGCUUUUACUCUGCUGCUCUGUUUUAAAGCAUUAGGUUAUGAAAUGGUGUGUAAAUGCACUUUUCCACUGGGAGAAACUUACAUAAGGUUCACAAGUGGACCUUAAAGCCACUGCUGUACCUUUUAGGGCACAUUUACACUGUUUGUACCUUGAUUAACCAAAGAUGUCCCUGUAAAGUACCUUUAAUUCUAACAUUGUACUACAUAUGAACUCCUGCUUUAUAUUCACUAAAUGUUUAUUAUCUUCAUGCUGUCUGGUCAUUUUCUUUACUCACCCACAGGCUGGACGCUAUCUGAAACCGCCUUGUCCACCUGGACCUCCAGGAGCUCGCUGAUGGCUUCAUGGUCAUCAUCACUGGAGCUCACUAGAUGAUCUUGAAUCAGAUUAGAGCUCAUAUUAAUCUGAAUUCCUGCUUUAUAUUCACUAAAUGUUCAUUAUCUUCAUGCUGUCUGGUCAUUUUCUUUACUCACCCACAGGCUGGACGCUAUCUGAAACCUCCUUGUCCGCCUGGACCUCCAGGAGCUCGCUGAUGGCUUCAUGGUCAUCAUCACUGGAGCUCACUAAAUGAUCUUGAAUCAGAUUAGAGCUCACAUUAAUCUGAAUUCCUGCUUUAUACUCAGUAAAUGUUUAUCUUUAUGCUGUCUGGUCAUUUAUAGACUCAGCGCUCAGCAGACUCUUCACUGGUUCUCCUGCAGUGGGAACCGAUUUCCAGUUAAACAUGUUGGUCUUUACAGUGUUUGUGUGGAGAAAAAAUGUUCAGGUAGGUGAUGUGGAGAUGAUGUGGUGCUGGUAGGUGAUGAUGCUCAUGGCGAUGUUUGAUGGUUUAAUCAUCAUCACCAGCUGUUUUAGAGUCCUAUGAGCUUUUUUUCUAUUUGAAUAAUUUGACUCACUGAAAGAUUCAGUUUCUCCUCAUUUUCAGUGGAAGAUCAAACAGACCAACAACAUUCAUCCAGUCUACGACACAUUUCCCAGUAUCUACAAUGAAUAUCUCUGAAUUUCUGAAUUCUGAUUCCUAUGGAUUAUUAAACAGAAUUAUUAAUAAAUUAAUGAAAUACAGUGAGAGUCUGACUCGCCGCCUCAUGCCUUGAGCCACUGCCUCUCUGAUCAGCCUCGACCCAAAGAGGCAGUUUAAUAGAGCUGAAAAUACUGUGUUAAAAUGUAGAAUAAGAGUCCUGAUGACUCCAGAGACCACAAUCUCUGAGACCAAUGAACUUUUAAAAUGAAGCUCAUCUUUUUCAGAUGUGCAGUAACAUUAAUCAUAUAUAAAGAGUAAAUAUGACUCUGUUUAUAAGAAGUUAAAGCGCUUAAAAAUCCAGUUUGAACGUCGGUUUAGUGACGAGCUGUUUUACAGACGCAGAGCGACGAUGAAACGGGAUAAAAGGAGAAAAAUCAGAGAGUCAGGAGGAAAAGUGGGCAGCACUUUAUUUGAAGGAACACAUGUUGGUCUGUUCAUCUCUGCUGUACAAAUAAAGCCUCUGAAUCAGAA